rnacentral:rRNA from 1 species
GACGAACGCUGGCGGCGUGCCUAAUACAUGCAAGUAGAACGCUGAAGGAGGAGCUUGCUUCUCUGGAUGAGUUGCGAACGGGUGAGUAACGCGUAGGUAACCUGCCUGGUAGCGGGGGAUAACUAUUGGAAACGAUAGCUAAUACCGCAUAAGAGUAGAUGUUGCAUGACAUUUGCUUAAAAGGUGCAAUUGCAUCACUACCAGAUGGACCUGCGUUGUAUUAGCUAGUUGGUGGGGUAACGGCUCACCAAGGCGACGAUACAUAGGCGACCUGAGAGGGUGAUCGGCCACACUGGGACUGAGACACGGCCCAGACUCCUACGGGAGGCAGCAGUAGGGAAUCUUCGGCAAUGGACGGAAGUCUGACCGAGCAACGCCGCGUGAGUGAAGAAGGUUUUCGGAUCGUAAAGCUCUGUUGUAAGAGAAGAACGAGUGUGAGAGUGGAAAGUUCACACUGUGACGGUAUCUUACCAGAAAGGGACGGCUAACUACGUG